rnacentral:rRNA from 1 species
UGCCAGCAGCCGCGGUAAUACGAGGGGGGCGAGCGUUAUCCGGAAUUAUUGGGCGUAAAGUGUUUGUAGGCGGUAUUUGUUGUUAUAUAUCAAAUUCUAGGUUCGUUGCUUAGGUCUAUAUAUAAUACUCUUUUACUUGAGUCGGGCAGGGGACAAUAGAAUUUCAUACAUAGGAGUGAAAUCCAACCAUUUAUGAAGGAAUGCCAUUAGCGAAAGCGAUUGUCUGGGCCCGUUACUGACGCUGAGAAACGAAAGCAUAGGGAGCAAACAGGAUUAGAUA